CACACUCUCACCCCUCGCCCAUCUCACCCCCUCGUCCAAACCCUAGCUUUCCUCGCGCCGCACCCGAGCCGUGCCUCCUUCCCUCUGCACGCUGCCACAGCUCGCCGCCGACGGCCUCCACUUCUCUCCCACCCGCCUCUCUCCCACCCCAGACGGAUCGCCCAACACAUCCAUCUCUCCUCUCCUGCAACUCCUCUCUCUCUCCCCGCACUUCACAGCGACAACAAGCACUCCUAGAUCCCUCCGGAUGCCGGACUUGGAGGAGUGUGUGCAGCCCAAGCCCGCUGACCCGUCCGCCCCGCCCCCCGCCGCCGGUAGAAGAUGGAGGCCCCGGGCUCCCCCUAUGCCUCCUCGCCCUAGUCCGCGCCCAAGCGCGCACCCCUCUCCUCCCCGCUGCCCCCGCAGGACCGCCCCAACGCCGACCACGACGCCGCCAAGCCCGAAGAGAAGCUGCAACCUGCAGAAUGCAAGAAAGGGCUGAUGUGUGUUGCGUCCUCGCCAUUUCUGGACAUCAAGGUUCUUGUCAUCGUCCUAUGUGAGCUGCGAACAGCUCAUCCAUCCCACCAACCCUGAUAAUUUUUAUAUAUGCUUGCUAUGGGUUUCCAUUCAAAGCUAUUAGGUCGAUAACUGCUAUCUUAUUCAGUUUUUUUCUUCCCUGUAUCUAUCAAGCUUAGUCAUGUUUACACAUAGCUUCAGUAAAUGGCAUUGUAUAUGUUUUUCUCAGUAAAUGCAAGACAUUGUAUUCAACAAUAAUCUCCUAUGUAUGCCAUGAGCAUGUGAAUAGCUCAAUCCUGUUGUCUUUGUGCAUAGUGCUUACUGCCUAGAUGUUCUCAAUUUACAAAGGGUUUUGGGAGUACUUGCCUGUUGCAAAUGGAUGGGCCUGUUGUUAGUUGCAUGAGUCUGACACUCCAGUGAUUUCUAACUUAGACACUUGUAUUUAUGCAACUUUACCAACAAUUUUGUUUGCAACAACAUUAUGCACAUGAGGCAGGACUAUACAAGUGAAUUGUCGCAGUAAGGUCCUUCCAUGGAUUUCAUGUGGCUCCUUGAGUUGUAAGAUGCAGCUCCAACAUUGAAUAUAUUUUGAAUGUUUCCAAAAAUACUCUCUGUUACGUUUACUUCAAUAUAUACAUGCAUGUUACUGAUAGAAGCUGGCUGCAGGAAUCUGUACACAUAUAUACUCUCUUGGACAGUGCAUUACUAGAUCACUCACUAGGCAUUAUGUAAUACUACUAGGAGAUAUGGGUGAGGGACUAAAAGGAUGACAUGCUUCCAUGAAUUUAUUUGUAAGAAGUUUUUCUUGGUUGUGUACAAAUCAACCCAUACUGUCAUCACAUUGCGUGUUCUUGCUGCAUAUACCUCUCUAUUUGCUUAGGCAAACAACUACUUAUGUAAUAUGCAAACAACAACAACAUAGCUAGUGAUGCUAAUUCUACCUCUUGUUACAAAAUCAGAAUUCCUCUUGUUGCACAUGACAACUCCGUUUCCUCUUGUUACAGAAUCAGAAUUCCUCUGCUUCUUAUGCUACUCUGCUAGAACUCUGCUUUUCUACUUGUCAUAUUGAAUAUACAUGUUCUAAACAUUAUACAGUACUUUUGUUGUUAACUCCAAACAACUUGGGAUCUUCUCUUCUGCAUGCAGCAACUGGCUUACCAGUACGCCGCCAAGGGGGCAUGCCUUGCCCUGGUAGCAAGGAGGGGGCAUACAUUGCCCUGCAGACAGCAAGGGUGACUAGUGAUAUUCAGUUUUUUGUGUGUGUUUUCUACACACACACACACAUGGUCCUUCCUUUUAAAUCUCCUCUGCUGCUUACUGACAGAGUACUAUGCACGUACAGUAGUUGAGUAGUAGUGUGUAGGUUAUGGCAGUAGUGUGCUCUCACGUUGCAUAAAAUUCUGGUAUUGCGUUCAUAUAGCUAAUAUGCUGCUGUUGUGCAUAAAAUUCCAGGAUCUUUGCAUGUAAGUUCUGGCUGUAGUGUGCUCUCCCGUUGUACAUGCCCCUAUCUUUAGUAAGAUUAAAUUGCUACUAUUAAUGACGAAUGGUUGAGUUUUAAAACUUGAAGCAACACCUACUUUCUGGUCUUGUAGUGUUUAAAACUGAUAAUUAUGAUGCAUUGGUCGGCCAUAUGGCCUUGUUUUUUAAUGCACAUAUAUAUAUAUAUAUAUAUAUGAUGUAGUUGAUAGGCCUUGAUAUCAACCUGUCAAGUUUAUGUUCCCUGGUGUGUAGGUAACUAUUCAUUUUUUGGCAAGCCUAUAAUGAAUUUAUUAGAAUUUUGCUCCUAUUGCUGUGUACUGUAUGAAGCAAAAAGGUCUAUAUUAGUGAGGAUGUAAAUGUAGAAGUAUAGAAACCAUAAAUUCAAGCUUCUGUUGUAGCAUGCUCAAUAUAUAAGGUUAUAGAAUAGUGUUCUACAAAAGGUUGAAACACCAUGGUCUCAGUCAUUUAUAGGAAGUAGAAACACUAAGGCUGACAUGCACUUCACUGUUUCAUUCGUUUUUUCUAAUUUAAUUUUCUGGAUAGUAAAUUUGCGAUUGUACGCCCUUUGUGAAAAAAUUGCAUUUUACGUUUCCAUGCCAUACAAUGUUGAAGCACGGUUCUCUGAUAUUCUGCGCCACUGAAAGGGUGAUAUCUUGUAUAAAUUUGGCUUUUGGCAGGUAAUCCUUUUCCCUGCCAUGUUCAGGUGCAUCACUCUGAUGCCGAUGAAGGGUGAGAUCUUGGUCGACACUAUGGAGAAGACCCUGAAGCCUGGUGUGUUCCUCAAAUCGGGACUGAUAGAAACCGAAGGGCCACUCGAAGCCGUCAAAGGGCACUUGUAGAUCUUGUGGUUGUGAUUACACUUGUAGAGACUUGUAGAGCUUGUGGCUGUGAUUACCAUUGUAUCUAAGUUAUAUGAUGUAACAGACUUAUUUUGGCUGUUAUUUGAAGUAUUAUCUGUGCUUUCUGGUUGUUUUGAUUUGAA